rnacentral:lncRNA from 1 species
AGAAGAAAAAAGAAGAAACCCAAUGUGACCUUUGAAUAGAAAAAGCCUACAAAGACAGGACAAAAUUGAAGAUAUGAUUUGGAUUGAAAAAAAAAAUAUCUUGUGUGAUGGAGACCCCUGCAGUUGCUGAGCCCUUGUCAGCUCCCUGUGGAACUGAAGGCAGGUUUCACAUCUUUUACAGCCAGCAGGACUUUAAAGGAAAGGUACAGAUGGCACUACGCAUGAUUCCAGAUGGAUGCAGAUCUGUGGGACUCCAAAUAUGGUGUCAGCCUGGAGUGAAGUAUUUUAUAGAAGGAACGUGUGUAAUUGCAAUGAAAGCGAUGGUUGGACGCGGUGGUCAAGGCAGAUCUCCAGAAUAUCUAGGGUUACUUCAGCGCAGCCUGAAAUGAGGGCAAAUGUGAUGGAGAGGAUGGCGAAGGGGAAGGAUGCGAUGGACUUCACCAGCAGCACUGAAAAUAUGUUUCCUGGGGAGGAAACAAAAUAGCAAGCCUCCUAUCUCCACGGCAUCGCCUCUGUUCUAAUUCUGACUUUACCGUUUAUUAGGUGUGGAACCCAAGACAAAUGGCACGGCUGUGAUAGGAUCAAGCAGCCUCCAGACCAGAGAGCUGCGCAUUUUGCUCAGGGAAGCUGUCAAGAAGACCUCUUUGCUGGUAAACACAUGACAUGCCAGUGCUGCCCCCAGGGAACUGAACUGCAAGAAGUCGCAAAGGGGAAAGAGAGGGAUCAGAAGAAGCAACUGAACCCCCAGAGUCUUAGUGACAGAAAAAGAAAAGAAGUAUGUACAGUGACCAAGGACUGUAUGAUGGGUCCCCUGCCUUCAUUUGGAAAGACCAUCAGCUCAGAGCCUGGUCCAAAAUGUAUGGGCCUCAGAUGUACCUGCAUGGUGGGCCAGCUUCUCCUACUGACCUUCCUGCAAAAAAAAUAAACAGCUCAGUGAUCAGAUCUCAGUCACAGCUGCACCUUCUGCUGAAGGUCUGGUAAUGCUGGAUCCGUAACCCCCCGUGCUGGCCAGGGAUCGAACCUGCAUCUAGGGCUUCAGAAAUGCUGCUGAUCCCGUUGCACCACAGCAGGAACUCCAAACAUACGCAUCUUUGAACAGUGACUAACACAGCCCAUUUUCUUGCUCCCGUGAAUCAACAAGGAAGCAAUGGAACUGAUGCCUGAACACGUGUAUUCCCCAGUGAGAAAGGGAAGUUAGAACAAGGAAAGAUUUCUGCCAUCGAGCUCUGUGGAUCUUUUCCCAGAAGGCACUAAAACUGUGAGAGAAAUCCCACACAACUCAGGAAAUAGAACAAGCUUUUACUCCUACUAUAAAUAAUUUUAUCUUUGGGGGAUAGGGUUUUGUUUUUAAUUUAGAGCGAAUUAAUAGGCAUAACACAGACGAACCUGUCCUGGAAGGAAUAUGAUUCUGUGACAAUUGUCAAUUAGAUCAGAUUUUUUAAAUUAUUACAAUCUUAGUUUACACUAUAGUUCUAUGAGUAAUGGUGACAAUUCCCACCAAUUUAUUCUCAAGUUUCAGUUAGGCCUUUAGACCACUAAAUAUUAUUUUUAACUCAGUUUAAAAUGCAUGUGAUAAAGGGGGGAAAUGGCAGAGUUUUUUUUUUUUUUCUUCUUCUUUUGGUUCUAUUCUUUUCUUCAGAGUUCUCCCACAUCUGUUUUAAAGCUCAGCUGAUAAACAAUACUUUCUUCCUAGGAACUUGGCUCUUUAUACAUAAAGGAACCACAGUGCUAUUAUGUAUCCCUUCAGAUAAAAUAGGAAUAUACACAAAACACCUACAUGCACACACAGACACACAUAAGCACAGACAGACGCAAACACACACAGUCACUGAUCAAGGGCUCAGUGUUGGCCAGGCCCUGAGCCAGAAGGCCAGUUGCUGCAGUUUUCUGAAAUUAAACUGGGCCAGGGUUGACCUUGACCCUGCCAAUAGCUGUCACCAGAGGCUUUGAAAAGACUCUACUUGACACAGUCCAAAUUGUUCUUUAGCCCCAGCAAAGGGGCAUGUAAAGAUCUAUGGAGUUUCAAAGACAUAUUCCUGAUGAUUUCACCUUUGCAGGGUGGGAGCAUGCAUGACUUUGGCUUUUAAAACCUUCUACGAUUACCCAACUCAGUGGGCUGGCUGUUCUAGGGAACCAAACUGCCCAGAAAAUCAUCCAAAACAUGGUAGUUUAAUACAACACGUUGACUAUCUCAGUUUCUGGAAGUUGGUACCUCCAGAGUGGCUUGGCUGGCCCAUCCUGGUGUAUCCUGAGGAUGCAGUCAGGUGGUGGCUCAAGAUGGAACAUCAUCGGGUUCUUCUCAUCUAUCUGGUGCCAGGGCUGGGAAGACUCAAGCAGCUGCGUUCCUUGGUGUCCACUCCUGUUCCUCUGCACUGUUCCCUGGAUCUCUCUCCAGCAGGGCAUAUGUUCAAAGGAGCAGGACUUCGCAGGUGUCGGCUGGAGUCUUCGGAGGUGUGUCUCCAUGUGAGGGCGGGAGCUCAGGCAUCACGUCCCUCACAUUUUAAUCAUUAGCAUUGAGUCACUGGUUCAGCCCUCAUUAGGAGAUAGGAAUUAGACUCCAUCUUUUCAAAGGUGGUGUGCAAAGAAUUUCCAGAUGUGUCUUUUUUUUUUUUUGUCUUUUUGCUAUUUCUUUGGGCCGCUCCCUCGGCAUAUGGAGGUUCCCAGGCUAGGGGUCCAAUCGGAGCUGUAGCCACCGGCCUAUGCCAGAGCCACAGCAACGCGGGAUCCGAGCCGUUCUGCAACCUACACCACAGCUCACGGCAAUGCCGGAUCGUUAACCCACUGAGCAAGGGCAGGGACCGAACCUGCAACCUCAUGGUUCCUAGUCGGAUUCGUUAACCACUGCGCCACGACGGGAACUCCCAGAUGUGUCUUAACAUCAUCUCCAUGGUUACGCCUUAUAACGACUGAUCUUCAUAAUUAUUGGAUGUGUUUUACCCAACAUAAUAGCAGGUACAGAUGUUUCUUCCUUACAAUUUUUAAGUUUAAAACACAGACGUCAUAUUUAUUUUUGUAUUAGAUGCUAAUAUAAUUCUUGGGCAAAUACUUUGGAAAAUGAGGAGAGCUAUAAAUAAAUUAAAUAGAUAGAAUAAACACAUAAAUAUGUGGAUGAAAUGUUCAUAAAGUUGUCAGAGGGAUGGCUUAGAAAAUGUUCUCAACCCCAAGUGCCACUCUUUCACUGUUCUUCUGAAUAUUAUCUUUCGGUGAUAAAGGGUAGUGCUUUAAGCAGUAUUAUUCACAAUUCUAAGCAUGGGUACAAUGAUAGAUGUUGAAAAUAAGCAUCCUUCUACAUUCUUUUACAAAAUCACUAUCCCUAACCCACGGAGACACUUUUCUGAACAGUCUGACUUUGAAAAUAAUUCUAAUUUGAAGCUGAUGGAAACUAGAGUAAUUAUUCAUUCAACCCCGGUAAGUAAUAAUUAAUGUUUGCCUUCUCGUUUAUGCCUCAUGAAAUAUUUCUGCAAUCAGCCGAUAUGCCACCACCUGGAUUAACACUAAGAUGUUUGUUUGGUAUUCGACAGGUGUUAACACUGACUAAGAAUCAGAGCCUUUUAAUUAGCAAAACUCACUUUUUUUUUUCGAGGGCAUGUUAGGCUUUUAUCAUUUUUUUUUAUAAAUCCUUCUUUUUGAAUAAUAAUGAAACUUUAGCCCAAAUGUCCCCAAAGAGGUGACAAUAGGGGGAAAAAAACCCCACUAACCUCAGAGAAGAAGAAACAUAAGCCAAUGUUUAUACCCUGUCCAUGAUUCUCCCAGAAAGAAUGAUGGUGGACUUCUUGCAAGUAGCUUAAAACUUAGACCUCUAAAAAAGAGUAGCAAGACCAGACAGGAAAUAUUGAAAAUAAGACCAGUCUCAGAUUAAGAGACGUUUGUUAAAGGGAAAACGCACAUGCUGAGAAUUUUUUUGAAGGUGACACUUGCCAUCUGUUACGGAAUCCAUGUACUGAUCUAUUAUCUCAGGUCAUUUCCACAUUUUUCUGUAAGGAAAUCUGAUCAAGAAAUUCAGAAGGGAGAAGCUCUCCAUGGUAAAUGUGCUUUAUAUUUGCCAAUAGUCACCAUACCAAAAAUAAUCAAAAUAUUUUGAGCAAUGAAGACUCACAGUAGGCAGGCAGGCAGGCAUCCUUGUCCGCCACCUCGCCUUGAGAAAGUAGUGCCAGGUCUUAUGGAGAUUGUCAAGCCUGUGGUCAGAAACCCCAGGUAAGAACUGUUUUAGCAAAGAGUUUUGCUUUAGAAAUAAGCAAAAGAGACACUGCAGAGUCAAAUGGCCAACUAUACUAAAUGUGUAAACUUCUUCCUUUUAGGGUUAAUAACAUUAAUUAAUUUUUAAAGACAAGGUAUUUCCUCCACAUGUAUUCUUUCCUGUUCUCCACAGGUUAGAGGCAGGUUGGACCUAUUGGUCUCUCAUAUGAAGGAUGAAAACAAACAGGCCAUGAGCUCUGAAUGCACACACGGAUGUUAAAGGGUCCUACCACUCAGAUUCUCCCAGUAUAGACCUCAUCGUGUCUGAGGUUUUAAUUAGUAUACUUCUAAAAAAAAUUAUGGUAUAGUGUUGAUUUACACCGUUGUGCCAAUUUCUGCUGUACAGCACCGAGACCCAGUCAGACAUAUGUACACACAUUCUUUUUCUCAUACCAUCUGCCAUCAUGUUCUAUCUCCAGAGAUUGGACAUAGUUCCCUGUGCUGUACCGUAGGCCCCCACUGCUCAUCUAUUCUAAAUGUAAUAGUUUGCAUCUACCAACCCCAAACUCCCCAUGCAUCCCACUCCCUCCCCUCUCCUCUCCUGUAACCACUAGUCAGCUCGCCCUGUCCCUUAUACGUGGAAUCUAAAAUAUGGCACAAAUGAUCCUCUCUGCAAAACAGGAUACUUUAAAAAUACAGUCAAAUACAACAAAAUAAUAUUUCUAGCUACCUCCAGUAAAAAAAA